GAGGAUUCUUGGUAAUUCUCUAAUUGUGCUUCUAAUUGCUUUCUAAUUAUCUUUGUUCUACUUCAAUAUAUUGCUUAUGACUUUGCUCUACUUGCUUAUAUUCAAGAUUAUAUUGUUCUUAGUUUAUCAUAGUUAUGUACUUGGCUUAGUUAGAUUGGAUCUAUAUACAUGCUUAGGAUCGUAUAGCGUUUAUGCAUCGGAUCCAUAGGUAAAUGAUAGAUAUUGUGU
rnacentral:lncRNA from 1 species